rnacentral:lncRNA from 1 species
CCUUUUUGUAUCUUCCACAGGAUCCAACAGAUUUCAGUGCUAGCUUGCUAACUGAUUUCAAUGACUACUGUCCACCUGUCAUAAAAUUCCAAGUAUCACAGUUCUCUAAAGGCACUGAUAGCACUUCCUAACCAUGCAAAGCUCCUGAAACUGUGAUUUAAAGCUUUUAGUGGAAUCUCAGAAUUCCUGAAGACUGUGUGAAAAUUGCAUAAAAUAUGGUGAGAUUAUGGAAGCCACAAUCCAUGUUACCACUAAGAGGCUGUGCAGUAUGGUGUAAGGUAAAGAGAAAGAACAUAACCUAUUUCAGUUUUAAAACCAUAACUCUGAAGUACUCUAGGUGUUCACAUGAUAACACAGUGUAAUAGCU